GACGAACGCUGGCGGCGUGCUUAACACAUGCAAGUCGAACGGAAAGGCCCUGCUUUUUUGUUGUGCUCGAGUUGCGAACGGAUGAGUAACUCGUGAGUAACCUGCCCUUGACUUUGGGAUAACUUCAGGAAACUGGGGCUAAUACCUGAUAGGAGCUCCUGCUGCAUGGUGUGGGUGGUAAAGUUUCGGCGGUUGGGGAUGGUCUCGCGGCUUAUCAGCUUGGUGGUGGGGUAGUGGCUUACCAAGGCUGUGACGGGGAGCCGGACUGAGAGGGUGACCGGCCACAUUGGGACUGAGGUACGGCCCAGACUGAUACGGGCGGCAGGAGUGGGGAAUAUUGCACGAUGGGCGGCAGGCUGAAGCAGGAACGCCGGGUGCGGGAUGUCGGCCUUCGGGGUGUAAACCGCUUUCGCCUGUGACGAAGCGUGAGUGACGGUAACGGGUUAAGAAGCACCGGCUAACUACGUG
rnacentral:rRNA from 1 species